rnacentral:rRNA from 1 species
GAUGAACGCUGGCGGCGUGCUUAACACAUGCAAGUCGAACGGUGCACGAGGGAGCUUGCUCCCUCCGGAUCAGUGGCGAACGGGUGAGUAACACGUGAGCAAUCUGCCCCGAACUCUGGGAUAAGCGUUGGAAACGACGUCUAAUACCGGAUACGACGCGCGAAGGCAUCUUACGCGCGUGGAAAGGAUUUCGGUUCGGGAUGAGCUCGCGGCCUAUCAGCUAGUUGGUGGGGUAAAGGCUCACCAAGGCGACGGCGGGUAGCCGGCCUGAGAGGGUGACCGGCCACACUGGGACUGAGACACGGCCCAGACUCCUACGGGAGGCAGCAGUGGGGAAUAUUGCACAAUGGGCGCAAGCCUGAUGCAGCAACGCCGCGUGAGGGACGACGGCCUUCGGGUUGUAAACCUCUUUUAGCAGGGAAGAAGCGAAAGUGACGGUACCUGCAGAAAAAGCGCCGGCUAACUACGUGCCAGCAGCCGCCGUAAUAC